GAUGAACGCUGACAGAAUGCUUAACACAUGCAAGUCAUUGGCGAAGCUGCGCUUGCGCAGUCUAGCCAAGGCGGACGGGUGAGUAACGCGUAAGGAACUUGCCCUGCAGACAGGGAUAACAGACGGAAACGACUGAUAACACCUGGUAUUGUCAGGCUGGCGCAUGCCGGCCUGAUGAAAGGAGACGCUGCAGGAGAGCCUUGCGUCCUAUUAGCUAGUUGGUGGGGUAACGGCCCACCAAGGCGAUGAUAGGUAGCCGGCCUGAGAGGGUGAACGGCCGCAAGGGGACUGAGAUACGGCCCUUACUCCUACGGGAGGCAGCAGUGGGGAAUAUUGGACAAUGGGGGCAACCCUGAUCCAGCAAUUCUGUGUGCACGAAGAAGGUUUUCGGAUUGUAAAGUGCUUUCAGCAGGGAAGAAGAAAGUGACGGUACCUGCAGAAGAAGCGACGGCUAAAUACGUG
rnacentral:rRNA from 1 species